UAAAAUUCCAUUGUAAGUCUAAUAUUGGUGUAAAAAAUAUUCACCUGGGUAAGUGAAGGUUAAUUCAUGUACUGAAAAUUCAACAUCUAGGUACUGGUGAGUGAAACAGAACAAUGCUUUUGGAUGGUCUUUAUGAAAGAGGCUUCCAUGGCUCUUGUAGCCACAUACGUGCUGUGAAUCAUUCAUAUAUACACCCAUACAAACAGCAAAGAUGUGACUCGAGACAGUUUACAUCGGUAGGAGGGUACCCCUCAGAUGGGAUGGCUUUUCAGCGCAUAUCCACAAGUAAAACAACUACAGCUUCCUUUGGAAAGUCCUCAGAUCCUGUGAUGAGAAUCCCUGUCCCCCUGGACAGUGACACAACAUCCUGUAAAUCCUCACAACAGGCCCCAGACUCCAGGGUCCCAAGACUAAGACGCCAGGCUGCCAGACCAGACAAUGUGUGUGAGCCAGACUGAAGGCCAUGGAUUUUCACCCUGCUCCAGAACAGCUCGGUCACUUCUCCAUGGCUCACCCACAUAAUAAAAGGUGCGGAACGUGCCAUCCCGGAGCCCGAGCACCCUGGAGAAGGCAGGAGCCUGUGAGAACGCAGCUGAGAACAGCCGGCCUGUGUCAUUGUGUGAAACUGAGUGGG